UAAAAGGAUAUAAAAUAUAAAAAUAAUUUUUUAAAACUCAAAGUAUAAAAGAUCAUUUUUAUUUUUUAUGUCCUUUUACUGCUUCCUCGGCUGUCCUACCGCUACCUACUGCUACUGCUGCUGGAUUUCGAAUCAGAUAAACAGUGUCUUGUACUACUAGAAUUUAAUGUUAUAUGAUAUUUAGCAUUCAUAAUCUACAGUUGAUGUUGCUAGUGCUGCUGCUAUUUCUGCAAAUUAUAGUAUUUCUUUUGUAAAAAAAAGAACAUGAAAAAUCGACCAUCAUCACCUUGCGAAUAUUUAAAAAAAAUGGCGCAAAACAAAGGGUUUCUUUAAAGAAGAGGACUUCUCCUGCUGAAUGCUCCACAAGCUCUCUAAGGAUCCUUUCAGAAUUCUAAUGCCGGGCCUGGCCCUUAUUUGACUGUGUAUUUAAUAACUGCUGUUGCUGUUGAGAGUUGGUACAAUUUUCUCAAAGGAAUUUUCCAUCUCUGAAAGGAUCCAUUCAGAAUUCUAAAGCCGUCUCUUAUUUGACUGUGUAUUUAAUAACUGCAGUUGCUGCUGUUGCGAGUUGGUACAAUUUUCUAAAAG